rnacentral:rRNA from 1 species
CGGGGUGAGUAAUGUAUGGGGAUCUGCCUGAUGGCGGGGGAUAACUACUGGAAACGGUAGCUAAUACCGCAUAAUGUCUGCGGACCAAAGCGGGGGACCUCCGGGCCUCGCGCCAUCAGAUGAACCCAUAUGGGAUUAGCUAGUAGGUAAGGUAACGGCUUACCUAGGCGACGAUCCCUAGCUGGUCUGAGAGGAUGAUCAGCCACACUGGGACUGAGACACGGUCCAG